CCUCAGCCUCCCAAGUAGCUGGGAUUACAGGCGCCUGCCAUUCUUAAAAAGCAUCUGCCAGGCUUUCUGCAGUGAACUUGGGGGCGCUAUCCUCGGUACCCAGGUGCCCACCUGUGUGCCACCCCCCUCCCAAGCCAGCCCCUGAGCCCCUGAGCUCUGUUACCUGCAGCAAACUCCUCGAUGGUCAUGAGUGGGAAGCGGAUGAGGCCCAGGGCCUUGCCCAGAACCUUCCGCCUGUUUUCCGGUGUCACCUGUAGCUGCUGCCGCUGACACUCGGCCUCAGACCAGCGGACAACGGCAUUGAACAGCCGCACCUCACGGAUGCCCAGUGUGUCGCGCUCCAGGACGGCCACCAGCGUGUCUGUGGGGUGGAGGAAGGGGCUGUGUGAACAUGACACCCUGCCCACCCUGCAGGAGGCAGUGAGACUAACGUGAGGACCAACAGUUAAAGCCAGGCUGGCAACUACGGCCCGUGGCCCAAACCUGGCCUUGUGCUUGUGUUUAUAAAUAAAGCUUUAUCAACACA